CAGUAGCCGCGGUAAUACAGAGGGUGCGAGCGUUAAUCGGAUUUACUGGGCGUAAAGCGUGCGUAGGCGGCUUCUUAAGUCGGAUGUGAAAUCCCUGAGCUUAACUUAGGAAUUGCAUUCGAUACUGGGAAGCUAGAGUAUGGGAGAGGAUGGUAGAAUUCCAGGUGUAGCGGUGAAAUGCGUAGUGAUCUGGAGGAAUACCGAUGGCGAAGGCAGCCAUCUGGCCUAAUACUGACGCUGAGGUACGAAAGCAUGGGGAGCAAACAGGAUUAGAUACCCCUGUAGUCCCUGUCUCUUAUAA
rnacentral:rRNA from 1 species